rnacentral:rRNA from 1 species
UUAAAUUGAAGAGUUUGAUCAUGGCUCAGAUUGAACGCUGGCGGCAGGCCUAACACAUGCAAGUCGAACGGUAACAGGAAGCAGCUUGCUGCUUUGCUGACGAGUGGCGGACGGGUGAGUAAUGUCUGGGAAACUGCCUGAUGGAGGGGGAUAACUACUGGAAACGGUGGCUAAUACCGCAUAACGUCGCAAGACCAAAGAGGGGGACCUUCGGGCCUCUUGCCAUCAGAUGUGCCCAGAUGGGAUUAGCUUGUUGGUGAGGUAACGGCUCACCAAGGCGACGAUCCCUAGCUGGUCUGAGAGGAUGACCAGCCACACUGGAACUGAGACACGGUCCAGACUCCUACGGGAGGCAGCAGUGGGGAAUAUUGCACAAUGGGCGCAAGCCUGAUGCAGCCAUGCCGCGUGUAUGAAGAAGGCCUUCGGGUUGUAAAGUACUUUCAGCGGGGAGGAAGGUGUUGUGGUUAAUAACCGCAGCAAUUGACGUUACCCGCAGAAGAAGCACCGGCUAACUCCGUGCCAGCAGCCGCGGUAAUACGGAGGGUGCAAGCGUUAAUCGGAAUUACUGGGCGUAAAGCGCACGCAGGCGGUCUGUCAAGUCGGAUGUGAAAUCCCCGGGCUCAACCUGGGAACUGCAUUCGAAACUGGCAGGCUUGAGUCUUGUAGAGGGGGGUAGAAUUCCAGGUGUAGCGGUGAAAUGCGUAGAGAUCUGGAGGAAUACCGGUGGCGAAGGCGGCCCCCUGGACAAAGACUGACGCUCAGGUGCGAAAGCGUGGGGAGCAAACAGGAUUAGAUACCCUGGUAGUCCACGCCGUAAACGAUGUCUACUUGGAGGUUGUGCCCUUGAGGCGUGGCUUCCGGAGCUAACGCGUUAAGUAGACCGCCUGGGGAGUACGGCCGCAAGGUUAAAACUCAAAUGAAUUGACGGGGGCCCGCACAAGCGGUGGAGCAUGUGGUUUAAUUCGAUGCAACGCGAAGAACCUUACCUGGUCUUGACAUCCACGGAAGAAUUCAGAGAUGGAUUUGUGCCUUCGGGAACCGUGAGACAGGUGCUGCAUGGCUGUCGUCAGCUCGUGUUGUGAAAUGUUGGGUUAAGUCCCGCAACGAGCGCAACCCUUAUCCUUUGUUGCCAGCGGUUAGGCCGGGAACUCAAAGGAGACUGCCAGUGAUAAACUGGAGGAAGGUGGGGAUGACGUCAAGUCAUCAUGGCCCUUACGACCAGGGCUACACACGUGCUACAAUGGCGCAUACAAAGAGAAGCGACCUCGCGAGAGCAAGCGGACCUCAUAAAGUGCGUCGUAGUCCGGAUUGGAGUCUGCAACUCGACUCCAUGAAGUCGGAAUCGCUAGUAAUCGUGGAUCAGAAUGCCACGGUGAAUACGUUCCCGGGCCUUGUACACACCGCCCGUCACACCAUGGGAGUGGGUUGCAAAAGAAGUAGGUAGCUUAACCUUCGGGAGGGCGCUUACCACUUUGUGAUUCAUGACUGGGGUGAAGUCGUAACAAGGUAACCGUAGGGGAACCUGCGGUUGGAUCACCUCCUUACCUUAAAGAAGC